GGGAUGGUUCUCCCCUGGAGGAGGAAGGAGGGAUGGUUCUCCCCUGGAGGAGGAAGGAGAGAUGGCGCUCAACGUAAGAGAAAUGGAGGAGCAGCUAAAGGAUGUGCACUUGGGAGCAGCAUGGGGGAGGAGGUCAAGAGAGUGCUGCUUCUAAAAAUAGAAACGAGGAAGUUAAACUUGCAUACCACAACGCCACGCAUAGGUAACACCUUCCUACUACAAUGUCCUUCCUCAAAGCUGCUUGCAUCAUUUCUACACAAACAACAAGCAGUAAAAUCCAAAAACGUUUCCUACUUUGUACUGUAAAAAAAAGCGAAGAAACAUUUUCAACCCACUAGAUGGUAGCAUUGCUACGUACGAAUGACAUGACCACUUUUUAGACACUAUUUACAUGAAAGAUUCUUAAUUCUUCACAUUAAUUUCAAGUGGUUCUCUUUAAACGUCCUUUAAUGUGGAUUAUUGCUAUGAUCUGUCUGACCUAAUGAUUCCUAAUAAGACUCCUGAGUCUAUCCUCUCAACCAACCAGAAUCAUCCAGCCUGGGACAGCUUGUGGACCUAUAUCACUCCUCCCCCUCAGUGUGUUUACAGGUCUCGUCCUGCUAAGAACCAGACAAAAUCAUUCGAAGCCACGUGUCUUUGUCCCAGCUGGUUGACAAGCAGCAGGAUACAACACUCUCUCCACGGCACAGUGUCGGUUCCCUGGAAACCUGAGGAGAUACCGAAAGCAUCGGGCAGUGGCUUCCCUUUGGCCCUGGAACUGGACAGACUCAAUGUCCCCCCCCUGGCCUGAAACGAGGCAGUCUGGACCGGAUAACUGAUCCAUAAUGCAACAGCUGAGGACCUUGAAGUGGUAAUGAAAUGCAUGCUGGGAGUGUUGGAGUGGAGCGCUACCUGGCCCUGUUUCAUCUCCAGAGGCUCUGUAAUGAAGUGGACCUGAACAAAACACACAGAACAAACCAUCAGCUGUUCUCAUAUCACUGACAUAUAGACCCUCUUCCUAUAUGUGUCUAUCAUAUAUCUAGUGAUAUUUCUAUACCAUGUACUGUAUAUAUGGCUGUGUGUUUAUAUCAUAUAUUGUGUAUAUAAUGUGUUUAUAUGAAUGUAUGGUUAUAAUGUGUAUAUAUGGCUGCCUACUAGGUGUGGGGGAAAAAUUGAUUCGCAUUUGAAUCGCGAUUCAGUCUUCUAGCGAUUCAUAUUGAUUCACAAAUUAUUAUUAAUUUGUUUUGUUUUUCUAACAAUGAGUUUACUAAACUGCAAGAAAAACAAUACAUUUCAAGGUUUUGAUGCAUUGGGAUUUUUUUGGGGAUUCUUCAACCCUUAACUGCCUAUCACAGUCAAAUAGAAACAAGUAACACUAAACAGCAAACUGGAAUCAAAUGUAAGCAUAUAUUGAAUCGAAAUUUGAUUA